ACUACCCUCAGGAGCGCUGACCUCGUCAACCCACCUUCUUCCGCAUCCAAUUCACAACCCUCAAGAACUCAUAACCAACUUCCUUGUCAAAAUUGCUUCCCUGACCUUCUUCCUCGGUGAAAACGCAUUCUUUUUCAACUUCUUCUUUCCUAGAACUCAGAAACCUCUUUUUUCCCAAAUGAGUUCACCUGAACCAUUCUCGAUUCUUCUCCUAUCGAACCCUUAAAAAUUAUUCUCUUCAUCGAACCCUUAAAAAUUAUUCUCUUCAUCGAACCAUGCUCCCGUUUAUGAACCUAGAUAUCCUAAAACUAAAAUCGAUUGAACCCAUAACUCAGAAAACCUAAAAAUCAAUUGAAACCCUAAUAAUUGAUUGCACCCAAAACUCAGAAACACUAAAGUACCGCCAGUCUCCCUAGAAUCUCUGCUGAGAAUCGCUACAGAGUCCAACGAAACAAUCCAUGAAACACAGUUAACAGAUGCAACAUUCAAGGUCUUCAUCAUCUUCUAUUCCAUGUACUUGAAGGUUUGGAGAAGAGAUUGAAAUUCACGGACCCUAUCGAAGGUGUUGGAAGGGUUAUGUACAGAGUACUAGAGACAUUGUCGAUUUAGGUUUUGAACCAUAUUAACGCAUUUUUUUAUUUGGAUAUUUGGGACUGGUCAUUCUGAUUUCAUUUGUGCUAUUUCAGAAAACUUGUCAGAAGGGAUUUUGUCAGCAUUCAUUUCAGAAAACAGAUAAGUUAUUAUACUCUUGUUAUUUUAUGAAAGUACAUGUACUUAAUUUUUGAGCUAGAUUAUGGGAUGGAUAAAAAAUAUAAAAAUUCUAGAUCCCUUAGAAGAAGGUCGCAGGGUACCUAUUGUUACAGGUAUAUUUUAAUUUCUCACUUCUAUAUAAUGUAUAUGAUAUAUAGUUACUUAACUUAUCUUCUUGAACUAUGUAAAGUAAAUGAAAGGUAUGCAAGCUUUUGUAUGCUAUAGUUGAUUCCUCAUAUUCAAUGAAAUUGUAUCGGUGAAUAUGAUAUCAUAUGAUCAUAUAUGUUAAUAGCACUUUUGAUUUACACUCAACAAACACAAAUUCGUCAGAAACCACACACAUAUCCAAACACUGCUGAUGUUUUCAUUCCUAAUGACAGUGACUAGUGUUUUCCGACUUGCUAUGAUAAUUUCGAAUCUGCAGUGAGUUUUUAAACUUGCAAUGUCAACAAGUUUCUUAUUUGCAUUGAUGGUACCUGUUCAUAAUUAUUAUUUUUUUUAAAAAAAAAUUGUAUGAGGAACCCACAGGCGGAAUUGCAAGUUCAAAAUUGAGCUCAUAAGAUUGGCCAAAAGGGAUAGGCAAGACAGAGUGGGAGGCAAGAUAGAGAGAAGAAAGGUUUCUUCCCCAGGAAAGGGGCAGCAGUUGGAUAAUCAAGUGGAAGCACUUGAAGAGAGUGCAAAUGAGGCAAAGUUGUUCUUCAUUUAUGAUAUGGACAACUAGGAUGCUGAAUUUUACGCUAAGGUCAAUGACGAUGUCUAUGUUAAUCUAGACUCAAGACACUAGUGGAAAAUUCUUUGAGGAAUGUAAAACUCUCUAUUAAGGAAAAUGACGAAGGAUGCAAAGCUCUCAACUAUCUAUUAUUCAUUCAAUGAAGUAAGAACUUCUUUUUCUAUAUAUUAUCAUAAAAGAACAUUAAUUUGUAUUGUUUGUAAUUCAUUUUUUGACCAAUAAGUUUUUUUCCAUGUCUUAUAUGUAAUAUUGUUUAUAUUAACAUUUUGAGAAAAAUAUGUUUUUUUUAAGAAAAAAGGAUCUUUAAUAGGGACUUUCUGGAAAUUGCAAAUAAAAAUUGGUUUUACGAUAGCGCUUUUUAAAAAAAUGCUAUAAAAUAUUGUCCCUUUAAUACCGCUUUCUAUAAAAGCGCUAUUAAAUCAUCAUAAAGAAUUGUAGAGAAAAACUAGGCUAUGAUAGCGCUUCUUGGUAAACGAUAUUAAAUUUAUACUUUUAAUAGCGCUUUUAAAGUGCUAUUAAAGAUAGCAGACAUAUAAUAGCGGCAGCUUUAAUAGCUUUUAAAAGCGCUAUUAAAAGCCAAAAAAAGCGCUAUCAAAUGCUGUUUUUGGCGUAGUGUAAUGAGUGAAAUAAAAUAUUUAGAGCGUAAUUAUUUUCAUUGGUUCGGUUCAUCGGUUUGACGGUUCCUAAAAACUAAAACCGAGAAUCAAACCGAACCACAUCGGUUUUUAUUGAUUCGGUUAAGUUUUAGAACCGAACCAAAAACAUUCGAUUUUAUUUCAGUUUGGUUUGGUUUGAAUUGUCGGUUUAACUAGUUUUUUCUGAUUCGCUUAUCCCCUAGUUACAGCGUCACGAAUUAAAACCCAUGCCAUCCCACUUUAUUCAAAAGAUGAAUUCCAGUUAUAAGACUACUUGACAAAAAAAACAUACACACUUAACAAACUUCAUAAUCGAACAUCACGUAUUAUAUUAUUUUACAUUUUUAUUGCUUUUCUUUUCUUUUACUAGCUAACUUUUUUCAAAAAAUUUCAAAAUGAUAACCAAAAUUAAGAUCAUCAAUAUAAUUAUUAUUUUCAGCUGAUCAAACAUUUACAAAUGUAGAAGUUACUUCCUCCGUUCCUUUUUAAGUAUCGUUUUAGAAGAAUUUUUUUGUUCUUAUUUAAGUGUCGUUUUAUAAUUUAAUGUUAUAAUUUAUCAUUUAUACCCUUAUUUUUCGCAAUAACUCCACCAUAUAAUUUUAAAGAUCAAAUUACUUAAACUACAAUUUAAGAAACAUUAAUAAUUCACCCUUGAAUCAUGUCCAUAAUAAUAAAAGGCACAAGGCAAAUUCCAUUUUGACACAAACUUACUAAAUACAAUGAAUUGGGACACUAAGACUGCCUAAUUUCAGAGAUACCAAUCUCAUCUUCAUUUCUCCCACUCCCAUUCCCAUAUUGAUUCUUCUUGUUGGCAUUUUGAGUUUCCAACUUUAAAGCAUUCUUGGAAUUUGAGAGCAUCUUUGAAUACAAUCUUAAUCUUGUGC